UCCUUGGUGGUUCAGUGGUUAGGACUCAGCACUUUCACUACUGUGGCCUGGGUUCAAUUCCUGGUUGGGGAA
rfam:Ovis aries breed Texel chromosome 3, whole genome shotgun sequence.